rnacentral:rRNA from 1 species
CGUGUCGUGAGAUGUUCGGUUAAGUCCGGCAACGAGCCGCAACCCACAUCCCUAGUUGCCAGCAGUUCGGCUGGGCACUCUAUGGAAACUGCCCGUGAUAAGCGGGAGGAAGGUGUGGAUGACGUCAAGUCCUCAUGGCCCUUACGGGUUGGGCUACACACGUGCUACAAUGGUAGUGACAAUGGGUUAAUCCCCAAAAACUAUCUCAGUUCGGAUUGUCGUCUGCAACUCGACGGCAUGAAGUCGGAAUCGCUAGUAAUCGCAGGUCAGAAUACUGCGGUGAAUACGUUCCCGGGCCUU